GACGAACGCUGGAGGCGUGCUUAACACAUGCAAGUCGAACGAUGAAAUGGAGCUUGCUCCAUGGAUUAGUGGCGAACGGGUGAGUAACACGUGAAUAACCUGCCCUUAAUUUUGGAAUAACCCAGGGAAACCUGGGCUAGUACCGGAUAAGUAAACCUGUGGCAUCACAUGGUUUUGGAAAGUUUUUCGAUUAAGGAUGGAUUCGCGGCCUAUCAGCUUGUUGGUGAGGUAAUGGCUCACCAAGGCGACGACGGGUAGCCGGCCUGAGAGGGUGAACGGCCACACUGGGACUGAGACACGGCCCAGACUCCUACGGGAGGCAGCAGUGGGGAAUAUUGCGUAAUGGACGAAAGUCUGACGCAGCGACGCCUCGUGAGGGACGAAGGUCUUCGGAUUGUAAACCUCUUUCAGCAGGGACGAAGCGAAAGUGACGGUACCUGCAGAAGAAGCACCGGCUAACUAUGUGCCAGCCGCCGCAGUAA
rnacentral:rRNA from 1 species